AUACGGAGGGUCCGAGCGUUAUCCGGAAUCAUUGGGUUUAAAGGGUCCGUAGGCGGGAAUCUAAGUCAGUGGUGAAAUCUUGCAGCUCAACUGUAAAAUUGCCAUUGAUACUGGAUUUCUUGAAUUAGUGUGAAGUGGUUAGAAUGUGUAGUGUAGCGGUGAAAUGCAUAGAUAUUACACAGAAUACCAAUUGCGAAGGCAGAUCACUAACACUAUAUUGACGCUGAGGGACGAAAGCGUGGGGAGCAAACAGGAUUAGAAACCCUAGUAGUCC
rnacentral:rRNA from 1 species